rnacentral:rRNA from 1 species
CAGCCGCGGUAAUUCCAGCUCCAAUAGCGUAUAUUAAAGUUGUUGUGGUUAAAAAGCUCGUAGUUGGAUCUCGGCGGACUGAGGGCGGUUUGCUUGCUAGUAUUACUGCCCUAUAGUCCGUAGUUUUGCCAGAGGCUUCGGGGUGCUCUUAAUCGAGUGUCCCGGGAUGCUGGCAGGUUUACUUUGAAAAAAUUAGAGUGCUCAAAGCAGGCUAUUACGCCUGAAUAUUCGUGCAUGGAAUAAUAGAAUAGGAAGUCGUUUCUAUUUUGUUGGUUUUCGGAAAUCGACUUAAUGAUUAAUAGGGACAGUCGGGGGCAUUUGUAUUCAAACGACAGAGGUGAAAUUCUUGGACCGUUUGAAGACAAACUACUGCGAAAGCAUUUGCCAAGAAUGUUUUCAUUAAUCAAGAACGAAAGUUAAAGGUUCGAAGGCGAUUAGAUACCGCCCUAGUUUUAACCAUAAACGAUGCCAGCUAGCGAUCUGCGGACGUUUUUUUUGUAGACUCCGCAGGAAGCUUCCGGGAAACCAAAGCAUUUGGGUUCCAGGGGAAGUAUGGUUGCAAAGCUGAAACUUAAAGGAAUUGACGGAAGGGCACCACCAGGAGUGGAGCCUGUGGCUUAAUUUGACUCAACACGGGAAAUCUCACCAGGCCCGGACACUGGAAGGAUUGACAGAUUGAUAGCUCUUUCUUGAUUCGGUGGGUGGUGGUGCAUGGCCGUUCUUAGUUGGUGGAGUGAUUUGUCUGGUUAAUUCCGAUAACGAACGAGACUCUGUCCUGCUAAAUAGUGUCUGCUUCUCUUUUGAGCAGACAAUUCUUCUUAGAGGGACUGGCGACUCUUAGUCGCACGAGAUUGAGCAAUAACAGGUCUGUGAUGCC